GCGUAGGCUGAAGUGUUGAAAGUCAAGGAAUACUUUCUUUUUCUCUGCAAACAAUUAUUUCUCGAUCAUUGACAGCAUUGAGAUAUUGUGUGAUUUAUGGCAACCUUUUUUUUUAUUUCCAGAAAUUCUCAGCUUUUCUACCUGUGUUCCCUUUAUUCCAAAUCUUUCUUUGUCCUUGAAAACUUCUAACUCUGUUCUGUAAUAAAUUUUCUAACUGUUGCUCUGUAAUAAAUUUUCUUUCAAAUAUAUAUGUAUUAUAGUGUACACUAAAAAGAAAAUGUUAGACUAGAGAUGUCGGGUAAUAUACUUAACUUGAACAUCUUAAAUAUCUUGUUUAUUUUUUAUAAGAGGAUGCUAAAAGAGACAUUAUUUAGUUCGAGGAGACAAAUAUUGUAAAAAACAAGAAAUUUUUUUCAAAGUAAUUUUUUUUAUAUGAGACUAUAUAUUUUUAUCAUCGCGAUAUGGUAGGCAGUCAAGCGAAGCAAACGACCUACAAUACUAUUUAGGUUGUUAUGCAAGUUAGGUGGGACAGCCUGUAUACAUAAAGCUUUUCGCUAAGGGACAAUUACACAAUCACUAUUCAGGGUUUCUUAGAAUCGCUGAUUGUUCAACUUGAUCGAUUUGAAGUUGAAGGAACGAUUGACUCUCUGAGAACUGACUACGAUAACAAAUUAAUCUUUUACAUAAAAACUGCACUAAUUGGUAAUAAACUGUGCGAGAAGUUUGCGACGCACAUCUUAAUUCUAAACUUCGAAAUUAAAAGAGAGAAGUACCGAUCCCAUGAUCGGAUGAAGCCAUUGGUAUACAGUAAGCAAAUAUUAACAUUUUGUAUAAUAUACUACAUAUCUUAAUUAUUACAAUGAAUCUUUUCUCUUAGCAAACGCUAGAAUUACAAUUCGGCCUUAGGCCAAUUUAUUUUUCAGAGAGAUGUAUACUCUUCAAUGACGCAUUGCGACGUUGAAGUUCCAGUCAAAUGGGAUGAGAUUAUAAGUGAAUUCCAGAGCCAACUAUCGAUCACGAUAAAAACGGCACUACCAAGUCUUCCUUAUGUUCAACUUUUACAUCGCUUAAUGCUGUCACAGCUUUAUUGAGCAUUUCUGUAAUCUGCAAGCACAAUUCAUUUCAUCAUGUCAAAGCCACACUUGUAUCAGUGUGAGAGUUGUCUGCAAUGUCUGCUGUUGCAGACAUGGAAAAUAGUUUUGUUCCUUACCAACUCUUGAUCUUCACUAGCGAGGGGUUCAACUGCCAAUGUUCGUUCUGGCGCAGAUUAUGUGAGUCUAAUGCACCCACAUCUAUGACAUUGCUGUAA